GUUCUGCUAUCGAUCCAGGCCUUGUUAAGUGCUCCCAAUCCAGAUGAUCCAUUAGCAAAUGAUGUAGCGGAGCAGUGGAAGACCAACGAAGCCCAAGCCAUAGAAACAGCUAGAGCAUGGACUAGGCUAUAUGCCAUGAAUAAUAUUUAAAUUGAUCCGAUCAUCAAGUGUGCAUCACUUCUCCUGUUCUGCCAAGACUUCCUCCUUUUUGUUUGCAUUUAAUGGACACAGUCUUAGAAACAUUACAGAAUAAAAAAGCCCAGACAUCUUCAGUCCUUUGGUGAUUAAAUGCACAUUAGCAAAUCUAUGUCUUGUCCUGAUUCACUGUCAUAAAGCAUGAACAGAGGCUAGAAGUAUCAUCUGGAUUGUUGUGAAACGUUUAAAAGCAGUGGCCCCUCCCUGCUUUUAUUCAUUUCCCCCAUCCUGGUUUAAGUAUAAAGCACUGUGAAUGAAGGUAGUUGUCAGGUUAGCUGCAGGGGUGUGGGUGUUUUUCUUUAUUUUAUUUUAUUUUUUUUGAGGGAGGAAGUAGUUUUAUUUUUAAUUUUAUGGGCUCCUUUCCCCCUUUUUUGGUGAUCUAAUUGCAUUGGUUAAAAGCAGCUAACCAGGUCUUUAGAAUAUGCUCUCUAGCCAAGUCUAACUUUAUUUAGACGCUGUAGAUGGACAAGCUUGAUUGUUUGAACCAAAAUGGGAACAUUAAACAAACAUCACAGCCCUCACUAAUAACAUUGCUGUCAAGUGUAGAUUCCCCCCUUCAAAAAAAGCUUGUGACCAUUUUGUAUGGCUUGUCUGGAAACUUCUGUAAAUCUUAUGUUUUAGUAAAAUAUUUUUUGUUAUUCUACUUUGCCUUUGUACAGUUUAUUUUACUGUGUUUAUUUCAUUUUCCCAAUGUGACAAUCGUAAUUUAAAAUUAAAACUAUGGAACAUUCUGUCUUGGUCUUCACCAUCUGGCAAAUUGAAUGGCAAGAGGUAGAUUUCACCAGUUUCUUUUCACUGAUGCAGAUUUGUGUUAAGAUAGUACUGAAUGGAGUAUUUAUAAACUGGCCCUGAGCAUGCAUAAAGCAUCAGUAUCUGACCUUUUUUUAACCUCCUAGGAAUUUGAAAUAAAUGUGUUUGUGUUGUCUGAUUAGACGAUCAUUGGUGUCUUGCCACAAUGUUUAAAAAUUACUGUACAGGAAAGUCACAGCAAAGAUAGCAGUUGUGACUGACAUGUAGGACUUUCACAGUUGUGCCACAUUUUUGCCUAAAAUUUGGGUUAUGACCUUUUUCUUGGUUCUUGUCUGAAAAUUUCAUCUGUAACCUUUCAUGUGUGUUAUUAAGAAACACUGAUCUGAUAAUCAUUUGGGAUUUGCUGAGGCAUUUGUGAGUCUUCCUUAUAAACCUGAUGAGCAGAUCUCAAGCAUCCAGCUUGUGUGUCAUCAGAAAGGUUUAUUCCUUUGAGAGUAGCAAGUCCUCAAUUAAUGAUUCUUGCUUUCAUCCCUCUAGUAUUUGCUAUGGGAGCUCCUUUUAUUCUUUAAUUUGGAAUUCAGUAAUUUUUCUUCUUUAUUGACAGAAUUCCUCCCCUCACAAAACUGUUCUUUCCCACUUCUCUCCAUAUCUAAUUCCUGAUUCUUGUAAUUUUUAAGUCAUAAAUGUAGCCAGUCAUAAAUACAUAAAUGUUAACCUUGGGUUGGAACCUUGUCUCUUGCAGUUUAAGGUAAUGGAUAUUGUAGCCCAUCUGAAUUUUCUUCACUCUUUUUCUCGUAAUUCUGGAGUUUCUUCAGAUUGUGGUGUAUUUUAUUGUGCUCCUAUGUAAGAUGAAGAAUUAACUAUUAAAAUUACAUUUUCAACAUA